CACACCACUACCAUCUGGUCCCUCUGGUAUGGAUCACCGCCUCUUUUCGGGACAUGGAAAAUAGUUUCAACUACAGCCCUGUUUAUCAAUGAGGGGAAAUCUUCAGACUCUACAAAACACUGCGUCUCUUGGGUGUCGCGACGCAAUAGGUCCCACUCCAUGCAACACAGGCACUCCUCUUCGGUGGCCAUAGCUUCACAAUGUCCGCGAUAUCUUCAAAUUCCUUCAAAUAACCUGCCAUCUCUUAUGUCUCCUGUUGCGUUCAGUGCUUCUCUUAAGUGCUUUCUUUCAGCAACAACGUUUCACGCGAGAUUCACUUCACAGAGUCCCAGAGUUCUGUUUUCCCAAGGCGCCUGCCUGUAUGUCAACCAGACGUGAACGGUAAUGUGUUUCUUUUUAAAGUGCCCAUAUUAUGCAAAAAUCACUUUUUCUGGGAUUUGGGGUGUUAUUGUGUGUCUCUGGUGCUUCCACACGCAUACAAACUUGGAAGAAAAACCAUCCAUGCUGUUUUGAGUGAGAUACGGGUUUCAGAAUUGAUACCGCCUUCAGCCUCUGGGUGAGCUGUUCAAAAUCGCCAAGGGUUCACACGUCACAAGCCGAAAUAUUUGAAUAUUCCCACCCCCUCAGAGCAUACGUACAGUGUCUCCACCCACCAGGCACAGCAGUAACUUCUCGGACAGCAGCCAUUUUGUUACCGAUUUGGAAGCACUGGUUCAGAUUAGAAGACACCAUGUCAAAGUACCACGCAAAAUGCUCUGUUAUUGGCUGUACAAAAGAGCACAAAACACUUCGUGUCCCAGCCGAAGAGGACAGAAGAGCGGCAUGGAUUGAAUUGAUUUUUGAUGGCAAUAUCCAUGCUACAGUUGGCAAGAAACUGGCAACAAUCAUUUCGAGACUGACUGUUUCUCAAACUACGGUCAGUACAAGGCAGGAUUAGCCGGGGAACUCAUCUUAAACGACGGCGCAGUUCCAACUUUGCGUGAAAUACCUGCAGACGAGGAACAUGAACUCCUGCAUUCUACAAUCUAGAAAAAGGAGCUGACCAAGAAGACUGUCCUGAAGGAUAUUGCUAAACUCAGUCCCCACUACCAGACGUCCUCUUUGGAGGCAUUCCAUAGUGUCAUUCUGCGGUUCGCACCCAAAAACGUGGUCUACCCAUAUCUGGGAAUGCUGUGCAGACUGUAAAGAGGGGAUCCUGUAAAGAGGGGAGCCAGACCAGUGAAGACAGACGCUACAUUCCGGUAUGUUGAUGAUUUGAUGGACAUGAUCAUGGAGAAAGUCUUUGUUGACCCAUCAUCGUAUGGAGACGAGAUUCUGAAGAUAAACAUCCCGCCGGACCUGUCUUCACAAUAUGAGCAUCCAGACAAGGAGGAGGUCAUCGCCAGCUACAGUGGGUCCCAGUUAAAAAUUGACACUUCAUUCACGAUCAAGGUGAUUCACCCAGCUGGGUGAAAUGUAAGUACAACUGCAGCCGCUUGGGGGCAGCAUAGUCUGCUGUGGCGUUUCACGGUCGAUCCGGACGGCGCAUUCGACAGCAAGGGCUGUGAUUGGCCGAGUUUUCAGCGUUUCUCUGUGUUUUUAGCAGCCCC